CUGGAGCGGCCUUGGAGGUCCGGACGGAGGCGGAGCUCUGGCUGCUUCUGAUCGCUGUCCCGGCAGAUGCCCCAGCUCUGUUUCCUCUGGGUUGCAGCCAGUCCAGAGACUUCUGACGAGGAGAGAGUGCUUGUUCUCCUUGUUGCUGUUAGGGUGGGGCAAUAGGUUCUUUUUUAGGCAAGAAGCCUUUUCGUCGGCAGGUACCAGCAUUGAGCACCAGUGGCGUUUGGUUUUCAGUGGUACUCCAUGGACAGCCCUCCGCGAGCCCCGGCGUUGAACCCAUUUACGAUUCACUGGGAAAGUUCCGAAGCGCUGCAGCGCUCAGCCCUCCCACGCCAGGCGUGUGUGUCAGGGGAGCCAUAAAAUACUGACUCCGGAAGAUACAGUCAAUAGAAGUCAAGCUCAAUUUAAUUUUUUUAAAGGAAAAUAAUC
rnacentral:lncRNA from 1 species